UGUUGGUAUGCGUCUGUUUCAACUCCCAGCCUGACAAUUUUUUUUUUUUUUUUUUUUUGGUGUAACCACGCCUACACAGUGGCUGCCAAGGCUUACCCAUGAGUUAAACCUUCUUUAGUUGGUAAUGAGGAAGGCGUGGGCUCUAGCAGUGGACACCCAGAAGGCAGCAGUGGGUGAAAACAAGCAAAAUAAAGAAAAGUUUGGCUGUGAGAAGGUGCUAGACAGCCAGCCAUAGUGACGAGGAGGCAGGAAGGUAGAUUACCACCACCACCACAGGGAAGUGAGAGAUGGGGAGGAGGAUUUAAAAGGACAUGUUUGCAGUGCACUGUUAGCCCUCACCUGCGCUGCCUCCCCCAGUGAGCGUGUGUAGGCCUGGGAAUAGAACAUAUGCAGACGUCUUGGCAGUGCUGUGUAUGUCUGUUUGUCGAUGGUCAAGAAGGAACGUAGCAAAAGUUUAAGGUUCAGACUUCUCAAGAGACCUGUCCAAGUUGGAGGUCGUGGUGGAGGGGCAGCUGCUGAUCAUCAAGCUUAGUGAUUGACUGGAGGAGAGUGGGAGGAGCCUGGAAGAAGUGGUGGAGGCGAGUACUUGGAGAAGCUCCCUCUUCCCACCCCAAAAGGACUCCCUCUGCUUGACAACUUGGUGUUGGCUGUACAGGCCACUGACCACUGACACAGAUGUAGGCAGAUGCCACAGAGCCGGCUCCUUGGACAACCUCCUUAAGAUCUGGACCACAGGUGAAUGUUGGAGAGGGCAAGGAUGAGAGAUAAGAAUAGUUCGGUGAAAUGUCAUCAACUCAGCCAUGAUGUC